UGCCCUAUAUCUACAGACGCGAAUCGACCUUGAGUCCCUCCCCGCAGGCAGGUCUGUGAAAUUCCUCCAGUUAUGUCGUAAACAAAGGAAAUACAGCUUGUUGAAGUUGUGACAGAUACACGUUUGAAGUCGCACAGUACAUGACUGUCUUUAGUGCCUUCCAGUAACACAUGACCUGACUACACCUGACCCAUGUGAAGGAGUAGGGGGAGAGGGAGCGAGAGGAGCCACACCACACACACGCCAUGGCAGCUUUCACCAGUACCCCCAAAGGGAGAUCCAGGAGUGCUCCUCGGCACAGAGACUGGGACCAGAGCCCGGCCGUGUGUGACUGGAAGGACUGUGAGGCUGGAGGCGGUGAGAGAUCUACUGGACACAGCACCAUGCUGGAGAAGACCCAGGACUUCUUCCAGAUCUGUGACAUCGAGGACAAAGGCUUCAUCACUCACCGGGACAUGCAGAGGCUCCAUGGACAACUGCCCCUCAGUGCAGAGGAGCUGGAGAAUGUCUUCGACACCCUGGAUUCUGACGGCAACGGAUACCUCACCCUGCAGGAGUUCUCCUCAGGGUUCAGUGAGUUCCUGUUUGGCCGAAGGAUCUCUGUAACAGAAGGGAUGGGGGAUGCCUGCCCCAUUUCCAAGGAAGCCAACCAGGGCCCCCCAGACUCCCUUUACCAGACCCAGUGGGAGGAGAGGCUGAUGGGCAGCGAGGACGAGGAAGAGAGGCACUUCUGCAUGCUCAUGGAGAGCUUGGGCGCCAGCAACGUCUUUGAGGACCCUGGUGAGGUGCGUAGUCUGUGGGCCCAGCUGAGAAGAGAUGAGCCGCAUCUCCUGUCCAACUUUGAGGAGUUCCUGGCCAGGGUCACCUUCCAGAUCAAAGAGGCUAACCAGGAGAAGAGGGAGAUGGAGAGCGCCCUUAAAAGAAAAGCAGCAACACAUGACGACGAGAUCCAGCGCUUAUAUGAAGAAAUGGAGCAGCAAAUCAAAAAUGAGAAGGACAGGAUCCUCCUGCAGGACUCUGAACGCUUCCUGUCUAGGAGCCAGGACCUAGAGCAUCAGCUCUCCAGUAAGGAGCGGGAGCUGGAGCAGAUCUUCCAGAAACAGAGGCGGUUGGAGUGUCAGUGUCGGGAGCUGCACAGCGAGCAGCACGUGACCAAGGUGGAGAAUGUGAAGCUGAAGCAGACCAAUGAGGAUCUGGCCCAAGAGCUGGAGCACACCAGUCAGGAGCUGAUCCUGGCACAGGAGCAGCUGGGCCUUCUGCAGGAGCAGUCGUCACGCCUGCAAAAGGAGAGGGAGAGGGAAAUGUACCAGGUCACAGAGGGAUUGCAGAGAGAGCGAGCAAGCCUGCUGAAACAACUUGACCUGCUGAGGGAAAUGAACAAACACUUACGAGAUGAACGAGAUACAAGGACAUAUCAAAAACUGAGGAAUACUGUUGAAAAUCCUGCUUGGAACCCGAGGCCUGGAUCAAAUACUCUGAAUCCCUUUGACAAAAAGGCCUUUAAAUGUGAGGAAGAGGUAGGGCUCCACCACUCUAAGAAGAAGAGCCCGGGGGGAGUGAAUGGCUACAGCCUGGAGGAUGUGGUAGACUCCAAAUCCACCCACAGACCCCUACAGAGGAUCAUCUCCAUAGAGGAGGACCACCUACCCCAGCUCUUGCAGGACGACUACCAUGUCCAGCUCUGUGAGUGGAGCGAGGAGGCAGAGGAAGAAGGGGAGGAGGAAGAGCACAUAGAGCUGCAGAUGAACUCAAUAUAUCCUCCUAGUUCUCUUCCGACUAGGGAGCAGCAGCCAGCUGACACCAGAGAGUCGGAGACGCCUACGUCCCCCAGGGGCCAGCCUGUCGGCAAGGAGACCGUGGUGAACGAGGGUGCAGCGCCACCCCCGGACCGCCUGUUUAAGAUCGUGCUGAUAGGGAACUCUAGCGUGGGGAAGACCUCCCUCCUCAUGAGGUUCUGUGACGACUGCUUCUACCCAGGCACCUCUGCCACCGUGGGCAUAGACUACAGUGUGAAAACGAUAACGGUGGACAACAGCCAGGUGGCGCUGCAGAUGUGGGAUACAGCAGGACAGGAGAGGUAUCGCAGCAUCACCAAGCAGUUCUUCCGCAAGGCUGACGGUGUGGUAGUCAUGUAUGACAUCACUGAUGAGCAGAGCUUCACUGCGGUAAGACCGUGGCUGACCAGUGUACAGGAGGGGGCCGGCGAGGAUAUUCCCAUCAUGCUGCUGGGAAACAAAACGGACAAGGAGAACGAGCGGGAGGUUCAGACGAGAGUAGGCGAGAAAUUGGCCAAGGUCUGUCUAUCAGCAAUUCCCUGGGGCGUUGUCUUCAACCCACAGGCUUCUCAGUGCCCACAGCCACAAAGUAGUGGGCCAUCUUCUCACUGAAUAAGACUGCCAGUUGAUUUUCUAUGAGUGCAGUGCUUGCUCUGGACAAAACGUUGUAGACUCUCUGGUACAUUUGGCAAGAAUUCUGAAAGAGCAGGAGGACCGAGAGAAAGAGAAGACGGUCCAACUGGUAAACAGCUCUUCACAGAAGAAGAGGUCCUGCUGCUAGCAACAAGAAGGCUACUAGCUAGCUUCUAUCUUCUCAACACACAAGGUGAUGGUGAACUCACCUAAUUAAAUAUACAGUAGAUUCUGACUAGAGUUCCUUAAGAACUCAAAGAUCUACAGCACAAUACCUCUCACUGUCACCCAGUCCACCUACGGUGGGAACACCCGUUUCUUGAAUCUGUGUUUUUUUUUUUUAAACGCCUCUUUGAGGGGGAAAAAAAUAAAUAAAAUUGUCUUAGCAUUUCACACGAUGAAAGGGCCAGGGUAGGUGCUGACACUGCCAUACAUGGAUAAUGACAUUUUUUAAAAGACAGUCUUGCACUACAAUAAUAACAUAUAGAUUUUCCUAAUAAAAACGUAUUUUUAAUGAAAAUUAAUUUUCAACUAGCUAAGUCAAAACCAGUAACUAUACUACUUUUAUAUUUAAUUCAGUACAGUUUACACUGUCUGACAAAUGUACUGAAAAAAUAAAAGUAAACCUUGUUUAUAGUUAGGUUUCGUGAAAUCUGAAUUUCGUUCAGGACCAAUUUAACAUUUUCCAGUAGUAGAGAAGGGUUAUAACAUUUGUCAGAUUUGGACUUUAUCUCAGAUCAAUCUGAUGAAUAGAUUAGCUUAUCCCUCAAAUGUAAUAAGGUUUACUGUGUUGUGUAUGUAAUGUUGGGAUGAUUUACCAGAAGUCAACUACAGAUGUGGGAUCCUAAUUUGACCAGUAUUGUCGCAGCAAAAUAAUCCUGCAGCAACAAGAUUUGAACGUUUAGUCCAUUAACUUUUCUGCCGAUGUAAUGUUGCUAGAUCGGGAUUAGGCUACGUGAAAAGUGCAAUACUGUUAAUAUGUGUUAGUGUGAGUUUUUAGUGAAAUCUAUGUAAAUUCUGGGGCACAGAAAUUCUCAGCAACAGCAGUGAUCAAGUGAAGAUCCUACAUCUGUAUGUGUCUAGAAAGUCUAAUUGGCAGCUUCUCCUUUUACACAAAUGUUUGUGGAAGGUAGUAAAGCUCUGACAUACUAUACCUCUCUCAAAGCGUUUGCAUAUAAACCGUCACCACUAUUUGGCUUUUUUUUAUGUAAUUGGCACAGUGUUAUUUCUAUGAAGGAGUUCUGUUGUACUGUAGUUGUUUGCUUAGUUUUGCCAAGAGAUUUGCCUUCUCUUAGAAGUAUUUGUUUGUGGGCGCACUAAAACAUUUCUCCUAAUAAUUCCAUAAAAAUAUAUAUUGUGCCAAGUAUCCUUGAACAAAUGUUCCAUUUUAAAUCUAACACAUUGCAAUGUAUGCCAUCACUGCACCUGUAAAGUACUUCAGAUACCGAUAGAUGCGUAUGAGACACUGGAGGUACCAUUAGAUACGUACUGUAUGUGUAUGUUCUGUGAUGUUGAAGGAUACUGAGAAAUCGUCAUUUGGAGCCCUCCGGUAUAGAGAGUAUUCCUUGUGUAUGUGACAGUGUGCCAUAGCACCAGGACUACUCUAAAUGAACCAAUUCAGUUGCAUUUGUGCCACGCUACUGGGCCUGUGUUCUUGCACAAUAAUGUAUGUGAAAAUGUAAAUAUGAAAAAUGUUGUAUGGUUUCUCUGAAUAAUAAACAUAUUGUAUAUUUCA